UGCAAGUCGAACGAGUUCUCGUUGAUGAUCGGUGCUUGCACCGAGAUUCAACAUGGAACGAGUGGCGGACGGGUGAGUAACACGUGGGUAACCUGCCCUUAAGUGGGGGAUAACAUUUGGAAACAGAUGCUAAUACCGCAUAGAUCCAAGAACCGCAUGGUUCUUGGCUGAAAGAUGGCGUAAGCUAUCGCUUUUGGAUGGACCCGCGGCGUAUUAGCUAGUUGGUGAGGUAAUGGCUCACCAAGGCGAUGAUACGUAGCCGAACUGAGAGGUUGAUCGGCCACAUUGGGACUGAGACACGGCCCAAACUCCUACGGGAGGCAGCAGUAGGGAAUCUUCCACAAUGGACGCAAGUCUGAUGGAGCAACGCCGCGUGAGUGAAGAAGGCUUUCGGGUCGUAAAACUCUGUUGUUGGAGAAGAAUGGUCGGCAGAGUAACUGUUGUCGGCGUGACGGUAUCCAACCAGAAAGCCACGGCUAACUACGUGCCAGCAGCCGCGGUAAUACGUAGGUGGCAAGCGUUAUCCGGAUUUAUUGGGCGUAAAGCGAGCGCAGGCGGUUUUUUAAGUCUGAUGUGAAAGCCCUCGGCUUAACCGAGGAAGCGCAUCGGAAACUGGGAAACUUGAGUGCAGAAGAGGACAGUGGAACUCCAUGUGUAGCGGUGAAAUGCGUAGAUAUAUGGAAGAACACCAGUGGCGAAGGCGGCUGUCUGGUCUGUAACUGACGCUGAGGCUCGAAAGCAUGGGUAGCGAACAGGAUUAGAUACCCUGGUAGUCCAUGCCGUAAACGAUGAAUGCUAGGUGUUGGAGGGUUUCCGCUCUUCAGUGCCGCAGCUAACGCAUUAAGCAUUCCGCCUGGGGAGUACGACCGCAAGGUUGAAACUCAAAGGAAUUGACGGGGGCCCGCACAAGCGGUGGAGCAUGUGGUUUAAUUCGAAGCAACGCGAAGAACCUUACCAGGUCUUGACAUCUUUUGAUCACCUGAGAGAUCAGGUUUCCCCUUCGGGGGCAAAAUGACAGGUGGUGCAUGGUUGUCGUCAGCUCGUGUCGUGAGAUGUUGGGUUAAGUCCCGCAACGAGCGCAACCCUUAUGACUAGUUGCCAGCAUUUAGUUGGGCACUCUAGUAAGACUGCCGGUGACAAACCGGAGGAAGGUGGGGAUGACGUCAAAUCAUCAUGCCCCUUAUGACCUGGGCUACACACGUGCUACAAUGGAUGGUACAACGAGUUGCGAGACCGCGAGGUCAAGCUAAUCUCUUAAAGCCAUUCUCAGUUCGGACUGUAGGCUGCAACUCGCCUACACGAAGUCGGAAUCGCUAGUAAUCGCGGAUCAGCACGCCGCGGUGAAUACGUUCCCGGGCCUUGUACACACCGCCCGUCACACCAUGAGAGUUUGUAACACCCGAAGCCGGUGGCGUAACCCUUUUAGGGAGCGAG
rnacentral:rRNA from 1 species